AAGCCCUGACUUAGUAUUUCAGCUACACCCUGCCUGCCUGGAGACAAUGCAGGUGCAGAGCCUGGCAUCAGAGGGCUGCACCUGGGAGAUCCCAGCCCAGCCAGCAGAGCACAAGGAGGAGCCGGCUGGAAGAUGGUAACUCCUUCCCACGAGGGAUAUUGGUUUUUGGAAGAAAAAAGCCCUAACACCCAGAAACCUCUGAGAAACAAAACCAGCAGAACCCAAACCAUCGGCCCCAGCCAGGAUGGUGGGCAAACAGUGCAGUGCCUCCCUGGGAUCGCAGGAGCGAGCAGGAUGGGGAAGGUCCAGAGGUGAGGAUGGGCUCCAGGUGAGGCUGUGACCCACAGCACCCAGGCAGGGGAUCAGUUCUACCCACAGCUUCUCCCCAUGGCACUCCCAGCCCCUGCAGCACCUGUGUGAACUGGGCUUAACCCCUUCCUCGCUGGGGGUGCUCCCAUCCAGCAGCGCCUCCGGGUGCCCACAUCCAACCCCAUCAUUCAGAACCUGUGCCCAUCCUCGCCCUGUCCUGGCACAGCAGUAAAUCCAUUACAUAUGUACAAACCUAUACGCUAUCUGAGCUCUGCUCCCAGCCCCACAAGCCAGCAGCAGUGUCCCCAUGUCUCCACUUGCUGUCCCUUACAGCCCCCACCCAGGGCACACAGCACGGGAUGGUGGCACCCCCCAAAACCCCGCGGCGCAUCACAGAGCACUUCGGUACCAUCAUGAAGCUUUUAUUUCCACCGCCACAAAAGUUCCUGGGUUUGUUUCUAUUUGUUUGUUUGUCCCGCUCUCAAACGGGUCGGUUUGCUUGGUUUGCUCUUGGAUUCAUCUCAAGACAAGGCAGCGGGGCAUGCAAGCUGAGACACCAGCACAGGAGCACACACAGCUUCACCUCCAUGAACGCAGCUCUGCUGCUCCUCAGCCCGGGGUUCCUGCAGCACCGCCUCCCCUGGGAGCAUCCCGACCCCAAAAGGAACAGAGGGACCCAGGGAAGGGCGGCUGCAGGGCAGCGACAGCACGUGAACAGAGAACGGAAAGGAAAUACGGACACUGCUUUUAAUCAGGCAACACUGACAGACAAAUGGUGGGAGGGCGCUGCGGUCACCGCUGGGGAAACUGAGGCACGAGGAGGUGAAGGCCGACGUUCCCGAGCGUGAGAAGCUUCUAAGCCAUACUUCCAUUGGCACCGGGAGCUGUGGGUCUCAGCGCUGCUGCUGGAGGAGAUGGGGCCUCUCGGUGCAGCCGAGGCAGGGAGCCCCGUGGGAAGAAAUGUGCAACAGGGAAAAAGAAACUCAAAGCCUCCCAGGGGAAAGUGCCAGAGCAAACGUCUGCAUCUUUCUGCUGUUACUUCUAAUGGGGCACCCAUCGUGUCCCAGUGGUGCCAUCGGAGCAGUGCCUGGCACCAGGAGGGCACCCGUCCGGCACGUGGGAGGUGGUGGAGUUUGAGGCACUGCAAAGAUCUGCCCAACAGAGACGUGUUUUGGCCACAAAGCAUCGAGAAAAGAGGGUUUGGGGGGAAGGAGAGAGUGGUGCUUUCUGGGACGCCCGGCACUGAGCUGCUGGGGCAGAACCACCCCAGUCGGACAUGAUGUCUCUUUGGGGAUGGGGAGAAAUGUCUCUAUAAGGGCGUGUGAAAGCUUCAGGAGGUGUUGGCUUCCCAAAGGUGCCGGAUCCCAAAUGUCAGCAGGGCAGAGAAAGCAUCCGCAGCCCCACAGCUCUCCAGGCCAUUGUGACAGUGAGUGUAAGAUUCAGCCCCACGGGGACACUGCUGCCAUCUUGUGCGUGGUGGGGACACCCCUCAGAACAUCCUCCGUGUCCAACCGUCACCUCCUGGGCACAUCUCUGCGGCUCAGAGCUGUGUGACCAUCACCAACCGCUGCCACCAUCAGCGGUGCCCGGGAUGGAUGAAGGGGAUGGGGGUACUGCUGGGCCAGGGGCAGAAUGCAGCGGGACAGCGUUGCACACUGCUCCCACAUCUCUCCUUCCUCAGCGGUGGAUGGAACCAGCAGCGAUGGCAUCUGAUGCCGUGGGGUGUCCCAUGCAGGUGGGUGCCCUCCUCCGGCCCUUCGCCUUCCUGCGGGUAGGAGUGUGGGUGCACACCAGCUCAGCAAUUGGCUUCCAGCACAUCCUCAAUGGGAAGCAAUGGGGCGGCCCCAACCCAUCGCCCCGCACGGCUGCCUCUGCUCCGCCAACGGAGGAAAUGCACCUUCCCACCGUUCCCAAAAACACCAAGAAGGGAAUCGGCUUGAAAGCAAAACCCAACGCUCGGCUCCACGGCUCCACGAAUACUUUUCAUGCAGGAAGAAAAUGAAAAGACACAAAGGAGAGUGCUCCAGCACCGGCUGCCUCCUCGCCUUGCCCUACGGGGAGAGAGGCUGGAGAAAGGCAUGGAACAGAGCGGAGGGAUGGGGCUGAGCAACCCUGGUUGGGCAGGAGAGGGGAAAGGGAGAGAGGGAAGGGCAGGAAGGGAGCAGCGGGGAGAGGGAAAGAAGUAAAAGAAGUACAGAGCCCCUUCCAGCACACGGCACACAGCGGGUGGAGGGGGUUUUUGGCUUGGUUAUUGCAGGCUCCCGGUGCCCCGCGGGCGUGUGUGGGGACGUGAAUGUGACGGAUGCCAUCAGCGAGGUGUGGGACACACACAUGGGAGACGAAACACCGCGGCAGCAAAGGGUUACAGCAAAUAAAUAAAGGUAUCCGACGUCAGCAGACGUGUAAAAAAAAAAAAAAGCCUCACUUCUUUCCACCGAACGGACCAAAAAAUGAAAAA